GGGAGGGGCUGGCGGCAGGGCUGUCAGAAGCUAUACUCCAGGAGGUAUGUUGACGCAAGCCAUCCCGCCCCUCUGCGGCAGCCUUAUCAGGUGAAAAGCAAAGAUAUUGCCAGUGCCUGUAAUUGUGUUAGGAUGGCUUGGAUGAAUUGGAUUACCUUAUGGAAAGCCGUCCAAACUCCGGGUUCUGUUACGCAUGCUUACAGGAAGCAAAUAAUUACUCUCUGUGCACCAGGAGAUAAUUGGGGCUGGCCGGAGGCCUUCUCGCGCCGCCGAAGAAAGCGGGAGAAGCUGGCCUCGGCAGAGCAUUUAGGAGACAGACCGGGAGGACGGGGACCCUCGCUGCCUAUGGGUGGCUCACGCUGGUGCUGUAAUUUUCGGUUACUUUUCAAGGAUGACAGGAAGUGAUUGACAAGUAAGGGUACAGGAAGUGAAAACUCAAGGAGCUUAACCUGUACUUGGCAAAGCUGCGAGAGCUUGCACUCGGAGAAAAUGGAAACCAUUCAGGCGGCCAGCUCGCCAGAACACAGCUCCUCUUGUUUGUUUAUCUUCCGAGCAAAUCUCCCAAAAAUGUUUGUGGUCAAAACUCUAUAUAAUGAGACAUUAUGCCGGUAUUAUUAGUGCUUUAAAAUAAAAAUCUGGCUAUAAUUUAGAAAAA